rnacentral:rRNA from 1 species
GGCCUAACACAUGCAAGUCGAGCGCCCCGCAAGGGGAGCGGCAGACGGGUGAGUAACACGUGGGAACGUACCCUUUUCUACGGAAUAACCCAGGGAAACUUGGACUAAUACCGUAUGUGCCCUUCGGGGGAAAGAUUUAUCGGAAAAGGAUCGGCCCGCGUUGGAUUAGCUAGUUGGUGGGGUAAAGGCCUACCAAGGCGACGAUCCAUAGCUGGUCUGAGAGGAUGAUCAGCCACAUUGGGACUGAGACACGGCCCAAACUCCUACGGGAGGCAGCAGUGGGGAAUAUUGGACAAUGGGCGCAAGCCUGAUCCAGCCAUGCCGCGUGAGUGAUGAAGGCCUUAGGGUUGUAAAGCUCUUUCACCGGAGAAGAUAAUGACGGUAUCCGGAGAAGAAGCCCCGGCUAACUUCGUGCCAGCAGCCGCGGUAAUACGAAGGGGGCUAGCGUUG